rnacentral:rRNA from 1 species
UUGACCUCCGAUCAGU